rnacentral:rRNA from 1 species
GUUGUCCAAAUAAGAAUUUUAGUUCAACUUUAAAUUNACCUAUAUAAUAGAUAAUAAAUUGUAAAUUUAAAAGAUAAUUCUAAGGGGGACAGCUCUUAGAAUAAGGGAUACAACCCUAAUCAGAGAGUACUUACCCAUCAAUAAACAUAGUGGGCCUAAAAGCAGCCAUCAAUUAAGAAAGCGUUAAAGCUCAAAAAAUUUUACUAACUUAAUAUCAAAAUCAAUUUACAACUCCUGAUUUACUAAUUGGACUAAUCUAUUAUUUUAAUAGAAGAAAUACUGCUAAUAUGAGUAACAAGAAAAAUUUUCUCCUAGCAUGAUUCUAUAUCAGAUCGAAUGUCUCACUGAUAGUUAACAAUCUAAUGGAUAAAGUCACUAAUUAAAUAACCAUUUUAUCAAAUUGUUAGCCCGACACAGGUAUGCAUUUAAGGAAAGAUUAAAUAGGUCAGAAGGAACUCGGCAAACACAAGCCCCGCCUGUUUACCAAAAACAUCACCUCUAGCAUAUCAAGUAUUAGAGGCACUGCCUGCCCAGUGACAUAGUUCAACGGCCGCGGUAUCCUG